rnacentral:lncRNA from 1 species
GAGAAUAAUAGAUCUGAGAAAAGGGAAGCCCGAGAAUGUUCCAAGGAGCUGCACCAUUGGUUAGAUUUAGUGAUGCUUCUCUUUGCCUCCCCACCAUCCACCAUCUCAGUCUCCUGGCCUGGACAGAGAAGGAAUGAUGACCGUUUCUCCUCUGUAGGUAUUCUAUUACCACAUGGAUCCCUUCAGACCCAUGAGCGGACGGUUCAAAGACCGGGUGGUCUGGGAUGGAAACCCCGAGCGGUAUGAUGUCUCCAUCAUGCUAUGGAAGCUGCAGUUUGACGACAACGGGACAUACACCUGCCAGGUGAAGAAUCCACCGGAUGUUGAUGGUCUGAUCGGGACGAUCCGGCUCAGCGUUGUGCACACUGGUAGGUUUUGAGAAGUGAAAGCUGACCUCCCCCACCUCCAAAAAAAAAGCCAUCUCUCAGGAAGCUGGAAGGGAGAGGAGGGCUUAGGUCUUCACAGCUGGGAACUUCUGAGACUGAGGAGUCCCGGGGUG